rnacentral:lncRNA from 1 species
CUGAUUUUUUAGGUCAGAGUCUGGAAGAGGGUAAGUACUCAGAAUCUCAGUGAUGAAUUUGUAGUUAUUACUACAAAUAGUGCUUUCCAUUUUUUUCAAGAUUAUUUUAAACAGUGCUGGUGGCAAGCUUGUGUUAAAAAACGCUUUUAGCACAUUCACACUUGAAAAGAAGAGUCAUGAAAACCAGACACACAAAGCUGACAGCUUUGAUGGGACAGCAGAGGAAGAGGUAUUGGAUUUUAUUGAUGCUAUUGGGGAGUGGUUUUCUUUUUGAAACUUUAAGUCAUGUCAACAUGUAGCUCAAAGCCAAAUGCUUUGGACCAUCUUCCACUCUAGCUUCAGUGGUGAUAAAGAUGUGCUUUGCAUAAGAUCUGUUCAUGGAUAAUUAGGAGCUGAGUGAUUAUAACCUCUAGACUUUAGAGUAAAUAUGCUCUUUAUCAACUCCAAAGACAUUAUAUUUUAGACACACACCACACGUCAGCAUUCUUAGAAAAUAAAUCAUCAUGUAUUUCUAAGCCAUCGGAAAAUAAUUAGCUGUGUCCUAGCUAAGUGGUAUAAAAAGCUGAAAGUAGAAAAAUCAAUAAAUAAUGAGAGGCAGUUAAGCUAGUUUUGUUGCACAGUGAAUUGAUGUCUCUCCUCUGAAUGAACAGAAAAGGUCCAUUGUACUUAUUAGUAAUUAGUUGUCUGUUAAUCUUGAUCCUUUCAGGGUAAGUUCAUCAUUACCAUUCAGCUCUUUAUCAGAGCGCUGAAUACACAUCAAAAAUCAUUUUUGCAUCUAAAAGUGGUGAUGAUUCUUCUUAUGUUUUGCUGUUUUGUUCCUUUUUUCUUAUUUUUCUUUGCUUUGUUUUUCACUGCCUUGCCAACAAUGCACAGAACGCCAACAACCUAAGGACUUUGAUGGUUCGGUCAUUGUUUUGCCCUCAGACUGUGCACGUGAUUCACCUUGCCUGGACAGUCUUUCCUUUUCUACGGAACCGGAAAACACUUUCUUUCUUGUAUGGGGAUUCAGGAGAAAUUUAGAGAUCCAUUGGCUGCUUCUACAUGUGGCAAGUGUGAGAGAGUUCUUGGGAGAGCUGCCCAUCAUCUGAAGAAUGGGAGUGUACGUGAACAAGAGAUGAGUGUCCACUCCAGCCCAGAGAUGUCAGAAGACAUGAGGCUGCAAGCAAAGCCUAAAUAGGGUCCCAGGAAAACCAUGAGAAACCAUCGUAUGUCUGUUAGAAUGGCCCAAAUCCCGAACACUGACAGCACCAAGUGCUGGUGAGGAUGCAGAGCAACAGGAACUCUCACUCAUUGCUGGUGGGUACGCAAAAUAGGACAGCCACUUUGGAAUGCAGUUUGGCAGUUUCUUGUAAAACUAAACAUACGC